UGGGGAAUAUUGCACAAUGGGCGCAAGCCUGAUGCAGCCAUGCCGCGUGUGUGAAGAAGGCCUUCGGGUUGUAAAGCACUUUCAGCGAGGAGGAAGGUGGUGAACUUAAUACGUUCAUCAAUUGACGUUACUCGCAGAAGAAGCACCGGCUAACUCCGUGCCAGCAGCCGCGGUAAUACGGAGGGUGCAAGCGUUAAUCGGAAUUACUGGGCGUAAAGCGCACGCAGGCGGUUUGUUAAGUCAGAUGUGAAAUCCCCGGGCUCAACCUGGGAACUGCAUUUGAAACUGGCAAGCUAGAGUCUCGUAGAGGGGGGCUAGAAUUCCAGGUGUAGCGGUGAAAUGCGUAGAGAUCUGGAGGAAUACCGGUGGCGAAGGCGGCCCCCUGGANGAAGACUGACGCUCAGGUGCGAAAGCGU
rnacentral:rRNA from 1 species